CCUACGGUGGGCAGCAGUGAGGAAUAUUGGUCAAUGGGCGCGAGCCUGAACCAGCCAAGUCGCGUGAGGGAUGAAGGUUCUAUGGAUCGUAAACCUCUUUUAUAAGGGAAUAAAGGGUGGGACGUGUCCUAUUUUGUAUGUACCUUAUGAAUAAGGAUCGGCUAACUCCGUGCCAGCAGGCGCGGUAAUACGGAGGAUCCGAGCGUUAUCCGGAUUUAUUGGGUUGAAAGGGUGCGUAGGCGGCCUUUUAAGUCAGCGGUUAAAGUCUGUGGCUCAACCAUAGAAUUGCAGUUGAAACUGGGGGGCUUGAGUAUGUUUGAGGCAGGCGGAAUGCGUGGUGUAGCGGUGAAAUGCUUAGAUAUCACGCAGAACCCCGAUUGCGAAGGCAGCCUGCCAAGCCAUGACUGACGCUGAUGCACGAAAGCGUGGGGAUCAAACAGGAUUAGAUACCCUGGUAGUC
rnacentral:rRNA from 1 species